rnacentral:lncRNA from 1 species
GAUGCAACCUGGAGAGAUGGAGGAGACGGUCGAGGCGAACGCUUAGCACCGAGGGAGCGUGGCUGGGGAGAAAGUUAAAAGAGGGAAAAAAAAUUUUUUUUAAAGUGGGGGAGGAUGGCGUGAGCGUGCGAAGCGGGAAUCUUCAAACUCCGAUCCGGGGAGCUGCGGGGCAGCAGGCGCACCGGCAAAGCGAGCUCGGGUGGCGGCGAGCGACAGAGGGCACCGGCGCGGACGCGGGGGGGAUGCCCACAGGCGAGCGGCCGGGAGCCGGAGGUCCCCGCGGAUCCCACGUCGCCACCGGGACCGUGCAGGCUAACACGAUUGGAGCCUUGAACGUCGGUGGACUUUCCUGGAAAAAUAGGUGCCAGGCAGCGGGAACGACCCCUAGGGGGUAGAGGCAAACAGGUGGCAGAGGCUUGCAACCUGAAAGGCGAUGCCACUUUCCUGGCCUCGGGCUGGUGAGAGCAGACUCUGUUGGCCUCUUUAGGAAUAUUGCCACCCUUAGCCGGCCCUGAGAUUUGCAGUCCUAGAUGAAUGAACGCAGGUUCCUGAUGAAUAACAGUUGCCAAGUCAUGGAAAUGUUAAGCCCACUCUACCAGACUUCAAACCCUUUAGCUGGCACCGACAGAGUUCUGCUGAUGGGUUAUGCUGAUGGGUAUUUCCAAACAAUGGGAAAGGAGACCUUUAGUGUCUGUUUUUCUUAAUGAAUAAAAAGGCUGCAGGAUUUGGAAAAACACUUUAAAAUCGCAAAGAUGUCUGUGUCGUCUACGUUUGAGAGCCGACACUGUAUUUUUUGUUUGUUUGAUUCUGCCUGAGAUUUUCCCCACUGUUGGCGUAAAGGCAUUUGUUAGGCACACGUUGGCUAUAAAGAAGAGAGUUCAAAAGCUGAAGCGUCUUACCCUGAAAUCGCAAAUCUUCGCUGAGUGUUUUCCUUGGACAGAUUCCAGAUGCCAAUCCUCAUUUCAAAAAGGCAACCUCUUCUGGGAUCUGAGAUGGGGAUGAGGGGUGGGGGAAUGAACACGGAACAGGGCCGCUAAGGCUAAGUUAGGACUAAAUAAAGUAAUUCAUGCAACAUG